rnacentral:ncRNA from 1 species
CCUGAAAGACAGUGAACUAUGCCUGGGCAGGACAAAGCCAGAGGAAACUGGUCCGUAGCAAUCCUGACGUACAAAUUGGUCAUCCGACCUGGGUAUAGGGGUGAAAGACUAAUUGAACCAUCUCUGG